UACGGGGGGGAGCAAGCGUUGUUCGGAUUUACUGGGCGUAAAGGGCGCGUAGGCGGCCACUGCAAGUCGGUUGUGAAAUCUCCCGGGCUUAACCCGGAAAGGUCAAUCGAUACUGCAGGGCUAGAGUGCGGAAGGGGCAACUGGAAUUCUCGGUGUAGCGGUGAAAUGCGUAGAUAUCGAGAGGAACACCUGCGGCGAAGGCGGGUUGCUGGGCCGACACUGACGCUGAAGUGCGAAAGCUAGGGGGAGCGAACGGG
rnacentral:rRNA from 1 species